rnacentral:tRNA from 1 species
GGCCGGGUGGCGGAACUGGUAGACGCGCACGACUCAAAAUCGUGUGGGAGCAAUCCCGUGAGGGUUCGAGUCCCUCCCUGGCCACCA